UAUUGUUUGUUGGAGACUAGCAUAUCAAUAAGCGGAGGAAAAGAAACCAACAGGGAUUGCCCUAGUAACGGCGAGUGAAGCGGCAACAGCUCAAAUUUGAAAUCUGGCUUCGGCCCGAGUUGUAAUUUGCAGAGGAUGUUUCUGGCGCGGUGCCUUCCGAGUUCCCUGGAACGGGACGCCACAGAGGGUGAGAGCCCCGUAUGGUUGGACACCAAGCCUGUGUGAAACUCCUUCGACGAGUCGAGUAGUUUGGGAAUGCUGCUCAAAAUGGGAGGUAAAUCUCUUCUAAAGCUAAAUACCGGCCAGAGACCGAUAGCGCACAAGUAGAGUGAUCGAAAGAUGAAAAGCACCUUGAAAAGGGGGUUAAACAGUACGUGAAAUUGUUGAAAGGGAAGCACUUGUGACCAGACUUGUGCCGGGCGGUUCAUCCGGGGUUCUCCCCGGUGCACUCCGCCCGGUAUAGGCCAGCAUCGGUUCUCUCUGGGGGAUAAGAACGGUGGGAACGUGGCCCUCCCUCGGGAGGGUGUUAUAGCCCGCCGUACGAUAUCCUGGAGGGGACCGAGGUUCGCGCUCCGCAAGGAUGCUGGCGUAAUGGUCACCAGUGACCCGUCUUGAAACACGGACCAAGGAGUCGUCCAUUAGAGCGAGCGUUUGGGUGUCAAACCCGCACGCGUAAUGAAAGUGAAAUUAGGUGAGAGCUUCGGCGCAUCAUCGACCGAUCCUGAUGUUCUCGGAUGGAUUUGAGUAAGAGUUUUAACGGACGGACCCGAAAGACAGUGAACUAUGCUUGUAUAGGGUGAAGCCAGAGGAAACUCUGGUGGAGGCUCGCAGCGGUUCUGACGUGCAAAUCGAUCGUCAAAUAUGAGCAUGGGGGCGAAAGACUAAUCGAACCGU
rnacentral:rRNA from 1 species